GUGAAUCAUCGAAUCUUUGAACGCAAAUUGCACUCCCUGGUAUUCCGGGGAGUAUGCCUGUUUGAGGGUCGUUAGAAUAAAAAAUCGAUGCGUCGCUCUUUUUUUUACGGGUGGUCGCGUCGGAAUUGAGCCGUCUUUUAAAUGUUAAUUCAUGAAAAUGUGGCUUGAUAUUCAUCUAUACGGUUCGAUUGAUGUGUUUUUUAGUUGAAUUUUGUUUGUGCGAGA
rnacentral:misc_RNA from 1 species